CGACCGCUGGCGGCGUGCUUAACACAUGCAAGUCGAACGGAAAGGCCCUGCUUGCAGGGUACUCGAGUGGCGAACGGGUGAGUAACACGUGGGUGAUCUGCCCUGCACUUCGGGAUAAGCCUGGGAAACUGGGUCUAAUACCGGAUAGGAGCCAUUUUUAGUGUGAUGGUUGGAAAGUUUUUUCGGUGUAGGAUGAGCUCGCGGCCUAUCAGCUUGUUGGUGGGGUAAUGGCCUACCAAGGCGGCGACGGGUAGCCGGCCUGAGAGGGUGAACGGCCACAUUGGGACUGAGAUACGGCCCAGACUCCUACGGGAGGCAGCAGUGGGGAAUAUUGCACAAUGGGCGCAAGCCUGAUGCAGCGACGCCGCGUGGGGGAUGACGGCCUUCGGGUUGUAAACUCCUUUCGCUAGGGACGAAGCUUUUUGUGACGGUACCUAGAUAAGAAGCACCGGCUAACUACGUG
rnacentral:rRNA from 1 species